rnacentral:rRNA from 1 species
AUUGAACGCUGGCGGCAUGCCUUACACAUGCAAGUCGAACGGCAGCACGGGGGCAACCCUGGUGGCGAGUGGCGAACGGGUGAGUAAUAUAUCGGAACAUGCCCUGAAGUGGGGGAUAACGUAGCGAAAGUUACGCUAAUACCGCAUAUUCUGUGAGCAGGAAAGCAGGGGAUCGCAAGACCUUGCGCUUUAGGAGUGGCCGAUAUCGGAUUAGCUAGUUGGUGAGGUAAAAGCUCACCAAGGCGACGAUCCGUAGCGGGUCUGAGAGGAUGAUCCGCCACACUGGGGCUGAGACACGGCCCAGACUCCUACGGGAGGCAGCAGUGGGGAAUUUUGGACAAUGGGCGCAAGCCUGAUCCAGCCAUGCCGCGUGAGUGAAGAAGGCCUUCGGGUUGUAAAGCUCUUUCGGUUGGGAAGAAAUUGCUUCGGUUAAUACCCGGAGUAGAUGACGGUACCAGCAUAAGAAGCACCGGCUAACUACGUG